rnacentral:rRNA from 1 species
AUGAACGCUGGCGGCGUGCCUAAUACCUGCAAGUCGAGCGCACAGACGAGGAGCUUGCUCCUCUGACGUUAGCGGCGGACGGGUGAGUAACACGUGGAUAACCUACCUAUAAGACUGGGAUAACUUCGGGAAACCGGAGCUAAUACCGGAUAAUAUAUUGAACCGCAUGGUUCAAUAGUGAAAGACGGUUUUGCUGUCACUUAUAGAUGGAUCCGCGCCGCAUUAGCUAGUUGGUAAGGUAACGGCUUACCAAGGCAACGAUGCGUAGCCGACCUGAGAGGGUGAUCGGCCACACUGGAACUGAGACACGGUCCAGACUCCUACGGGAGGCAGCAGUAGGGAAUCUUCCGCAAUGGGCGAAAGCCUGACGGAGCAACGCCGCGUGAGUGAUGAAGGUCUUCGGAUCGUAAAACUCUGUUAUUAGGGAAGAACAAAUGUGUAAGUAACUAUGCACGUCUUGACGGUACCUAAUCAGAAAGCCACGGCUAACUACGUG